GGGGGGGGGGGGGGGGGGGGGGGGGGGGGGGGGGUGGGGGGGGCGGGGCGGGGGUGGGGGGGGUGCGGGGGGGGCGCCCGGGUGGGUAGCGCGGGAGGGCCCUGCCCGUGACUGUUGUAGAAGUUCGGGCACGUGGUGCGCCUACCGGGUACGCGCUCCGUCUGCCCGGUGGUGUGUGGACAUUUUCGGCGGUCGGGUAUGGACUCGCGGCUUAUCAGCUUGUUGGUGGGGUAGUGGCUUACCAAGGCUUUGACGGGUAGCCGGCCUGAGAGGGUGACCGGCCACAUUGGGACUGAGAUACGGCCCAGACUCCUACGGGAGGCAGCAGUGGGGAAUAUUGCACAAUGGGCGGAAGCCUGAUGCAGCAACGCCGCGUGCGGGAUGACGGCCUUCGGGUUGUAAACCGCUUUCGCCUGUGACGAAGCGUGAGUGACGGUAAUGGGUAAAGAAGCACCGGCUAACUACGUG
rnacentral:rRNA from 1 species